ACAGCAGCCGCCGCGGUAAAACGAAGGGGGCUAGCGUUGUUCGGAAUUACUGGGCGUAAAGCGCACGUAGGCGGAUAUUUAAGUCAGGGGUGAAAUCCCAGAGCUCAACUCUGGAACUGCCUUUGAUACUGGGUAUCUUGAGUAUGGAAGAGGUGAGUGGAAUUCCGAGUGUAGAGGUGAAAUUCGUAGAUAUUCGGAGGAACACCAGUGGCGAAGGCGGCUCACUGGUCCAUUACUGACGCAGAGGUGCGGAAGCGUGGGGAGCAAACAGGAUUAGAUACCCGCGUAGUCCCUGUCUCUUAUAC
rnacentral:rRNA from 1 species